UGUGUUUGCGGUGAUGAUUAGAUGUUAAUCCCAGCUCAUUAUGAGACCUUCUUUGUGUAAGGUCAGGGAUAAUUAAUAUUUCUCUCAUCUGUCUGAGCAUUUUCA
rnacentral:snoRNA from 1 species